rnacentral:rRNA from 1 species
UACGUAGGGUGCAGGCGUUAAUCGGAAUUACUGGGCGUAAAGCGUGCGCAGGCGGCUUCCUAAGUCAGAUGUGAAAUCCCCGGGCUCAACCUGGGAACUGCGUUUGAAACUGGGAGGCUAGAGUGCGGCAGAGGGGGGUGGAAUUCCACGUGUAGCAGUGAAAUGCGUAGAGAUGUGGAGGAACACCGAUGGCGAAGGCAGCCUCCUGGGCCAGCACUGACGCUCAUGCACGAAAGCGUGGGGAGCAAACAGG